GUUUUACGACUGUAUUUUUUCUAAAGGUUUUAAUACUCUUAAAGGUCUUCUUCCCCUCGCCUAACAAGUUUUCUGCUGAGGAGCUAUGGGCUCAUAUGCUUUGUGAACAGUUCUAACUUAAAGGUGAAAACAUUUCUAAGAAUUUGAUCACUGGGAGCUACUCUUGCUACAAGGAAGCCUUGUAAAUAUACGGGCCCGGGGUUAUUUAUAUAUAAUAAUGUACUCCAGAUGGCGCUGUUUAACCAAGCAGAGUGUAAGGUUUCAGUACAGGUUAAUCUGAAUUACCUGCCAUUCAUUAGAUUUUCAUUCAGUUAUUCUAUGUAGCCUAAGACCUUUGCAAGCAAUAAACAAGGGUGAUAAACGACUGUACUAAUACAGCAGGUCUCUUUUUUUAGGCUCAGCUCGCUCACUUCUUUAAGGUCAUGUGCUUGUUGCUCAUGAAAGCAGUGGAGUUCAGUGUUAUCAAAAGGCCAGGCUAAGUGUUUUGUUUUUUUCAGAACCUGUUGUUUAGCUUAACUUAUCUCUAAGACAAAAAAAGAAGAAUUCAACACAACCAUUUGUUUCUAUGCUGCUUUAGAUAUCAGACUUGCUACAAUUUGCAUAUGUAGUCAAAUAAAAGUGGUUAUUUUAUCCCAUCGGGUGCUCCUCUGUGACUCUGAGUUUUGAGCAGUGAACAGAAAGUAGCCUGAAAAUCUAACCCUAACCCUGUGUUAUCAUAAUAAUUUUUGAAAAUUGUUCUCCCCAAGUCCUGCCAAAGAGGGUGGGGUUAUAAUUACUUGUCAGUACUAAUAGUGGUUUAGACCACAGAAGUUUAACUAUAACCUCAGGAUGAGCAAUUUUUAAUCUGGUUUGUAUACCAUAUUGAUUUCCUUGAGUUGAAGCAAUUAAACAAACUCUAAAUAUUCUGACAUUGGCAGUUCCUCUAUACGGCCACGGUCAGGUCACAUUUCUGUGUCUGCAGCCUCUGGGAGUAAACAAGGCUUUCUGGGCUGAGUAAUGCUGCCUUCAAGCUCACCGACAGCAAUCAUAAUUACUGGAGUCGUCGAAAAUUUCCAUGCGCCUCAAAGAAGUGACGUCACAGAGCCAGAGACAAUAACGACGUUAACAAGGCCAUCGUUUAAUAAAAUAAUGCAAUAAUGUAUAUUUUAUAAAAUUACGCUAUUUACUACAUUGUUUACUGUAACGUGUGUAAUCCAAUCCCUACUCGUUGUCAUACUAGUAGGCUAUAGAUUAUUUGCCUAUAUUACUAUAAACCUAUCGCAUCUCAGCGCACAAUGUGUUUUGUCAUGCUUUUUGAAAACAACUUCUGUCCAGGAUAUCACGUCUCUCUUGAUAAACAUAAUAAAAGAAGAGCGACCAGAGAAAACUACUUUUGUUGACUGUGAAUGUUGUUAUUUCCGGACAAUGCACUUCAAUGAGCGGCAGGUCUUCUGUUAUGCGGUUAACGUAAACACUGACUGUUUUCAUGCACUGUUUCCAGGUGACAGCUU
ensembl:lncRNA